AAGGUUAUCCUAAUCUCUUAAGAAUACUUAUGGACACUAAGUCUGAGAAGAAGUUCAGAACCCUGACUGAAGUUCCAUAAGAUAUGGUUCUCAUCUUGGCUGAAGAAGCACGGAUUUAACUUAGUUAAAUACAUGCUAUAUGUAGUCUAGCAAAACUCUAAGUAACUUGACACAAUUCUUUUAAAAAAGGAAAAUCGGCCACUUACCAUUCCUACCAUUUCCCAACUUCUGCAAGUGCUUCUUUUUCAUUCAUCUAACAUGAGUUAAUGAAGAUGGGCUUGUAUGGAAUGGAAGGCUAAGGAGAUCAUUGGCUGGAUCAUUUGCUAGCGUGCCCCUAUGUAAUACACUCU